GAUGAACGCUAGCUACAGGCUUAACACAUGCAAGUCGAGGGGAAACGAUAGAGAAAGCUUGCUUUUUCUAGGCGUCGACCGGCGCACGGGUGAGUAACGCGUAUCCAACCUGCCCACCACUUGGGGAUAACCUUGCGAAAGUAAGACUAAUACCCAAUGAUAUCUCAAGAAGACAUCUGAAUGAGAUUAAAGAUUUAUCGGUGAUGGAUGGGGAUGCGUCUGAUUAGCUUGUUGGCGGGGUAACGGCCCACCAAGGGGACGAUCAGUAGGGGUUCUGAGAGGAAGGUCCCCCACAUUGGAACUGAGACACGGUCCAAACUCCUACGGGAGGAAGCAGUGAGGAAUAUUGGUCAAUGGGCGAGAGCCUGAACCAGCCAAGUAGCGUGCAGGAUGACGGCCCUAUGGGUUGUAAACUGCUUUUAUAAGGGAAUAAAGUGAGUCUCGUGAGGCUUUUUGCAUGUACCUUAUGAAUAAGGACCGGCUAAUUCCGUGCCAGCCGCCGCAGUAAAAC
rnacentral:rRNA from 1 species